rnacentral:rRNA from 1 species
UUUAGUGGCGGACUGGUGAGUAACGCGUGAGCAACCUGCCUACUAGAGGGGAAUAACAGUGAGAAAUCAUUGCUAAUACCGCAUAUGCCAUGAACAUCACAUGAUGAAAAUGGGAAAAGAGUAAUCUGCUAGGAGAUGGGCUCGCGUCUGAUUAGAUAGUUGGUGGGGCAACGGCCUACCAAGUCGACGAUCAGUAGCCGGACUGAGAGGUUGAACGGCCACAUUGGGACUGAGAUACGGCCCAGACUCCUACGGGAGGCAGCAGUCGGGAAUAUUGCGCAAUGGAGGAAACUCUGACGCAGUGACGCCGCGUAUAGGAAGAAGGUUUUCGGAUUGUAAACUAUUGUCGUUAGGGAAGAUAAAAGACAGUACCUAAGGAGGAAGCUCCGGCUAACUACGUGCCAGCAGCCGCGGCGAUACGUAGGGAGCAAGCGUUAUCCGGAUUUAUUGGGUGUAAAGGGUGCGUAGACGGGACAACAAGUUAGUUGUGAAAUCCCUCGGCUUAACUGAGGAACUGCAACUAAAACUAUUGUUCUUGAGUGUUGGAGAGGAAAGUGGAUUCCUAGUGUAGCGGUGAAAUGCGUAGAUAUU